GGGAAAAUGAGAACAUGGCUGUUUUUUUUUUUUCUUGUAGGUAACUAAUUCUAAUGACCUGGUAUGCUGCAACAAAGCCUAAGCCACGUCUUCAUUGGCAGCUGAAGCCAGUACUGUUACCCCAACAGGAUUACUGAUCUUCUUUGGAAUUCUAUUGGAGAGUAGAGGCCUGCCAUCUUAGUGGCAUGCAGUUAAUGACUCGUAUGGGAAGGUUACUACAAUAUCCAGUUUUGAUCUUCAGCUACCAGGUAAAACAAGAUCCCAAGAACUUGGCCAACUGAUGUCUGAAGAGGACUUAAAUGCCAGUUUGCAGAUCCAAAACACCCAGUGACUUCACUGUGCCCUCGUGUAAAUGUUGAUAAGUGAGGUGUAACUAUUUACAAACUGGAAAAUUGAGAAACCGGUCUGAAGAGUCCUAUAGGCAAUAGGGAAAUGGCCUUCUGGCUUAUGAAAUUAAUGAACAAGCAGAAUGAUUUGUGAAAAACAACUGUUUUAUAGGACCACCACCUGCAGUAUGGGCUGACUCCCACAAUGUGGAAGAAAUCCAGAACAUCAUUUCAGAUUAAUUUCUUGACAUCUCAACUUUGUCCUGCACCCCAUCCACCAACACAGAACAUACUCAAGAGUAACAAAGAUAUUUCUGGUGACACACUGCAGCCAUGGGAAAUUGGAAUGCAAGUCAUGCCAUAUCUACUGACAGCUCAUAAAGUACUCCACAGCAGUGCAGAAGAUGUAUUUUCUAUGCCUGAAGAUCAUGUUAGCUUGGUCCGGGUUUUGCUAAAUAGUACUGAACUUUUGGCUGUUUAUUCCCAACUCUGUGAUGUCAGCUGGCCUCCCUGGAAGCCAGACUCCAAUUGCGGCAACCAUUCUGUACACGCACAUUGCAUGGAAAGAGUUACCUAGUAAUAAAAAAC
ensembl:lncRNA